GAUGAACGCUGGCGGCGUGCCUAAUACAUGCAAGUCGAGCGAACAGACGAGGAGCUUGCUCCUUUGACGUUAGCGGCGGACGGGUGAGUAACACGUGGGUAACCUACCUAUAAGACUGGGAUAACUUCGGGAAACCGGAGCUAAUACCGGAUAAUAUUUCGAACCGCAUGGUUCGAUAGUGAAAGAUGGCUUUGCUAUCACUUAUAGAUGGACCUGCGCCGUAUUAGCUAGUUGGUAAGGUAACGGCUUACCAAGGCAACGAUACGUAGCCGACCUGAGAGGGUGCUCGGCCACACUGGAACGGAGACACGGUCCAGACUCCUACGGGAGGCAGCAGUAGGGAAUCUUGCGCAAUGGGCGAAAGCCUGACGGAGCAACGCCGCGUGAGUGAUGAAGGUCUUCGGAUCGUAAAACUCUGUUAUUAGGGAAGAACAAACGUGUAAGUAACUGUGCACGUCUUGACGGUACCUAAUCAGAAAGCCACGGCUAACUACGUG
rnacentral:rRNA from 1 species